UACGUAGGGUGCGAGCGUUAAUCGGAAUUACUGGGCGUAAAGCGUGCGCAGGCGGUUUUGUAAGCCAGAUGUGAAAUCCCCGGGCUUAACCUGGGAAUGGCAUUGGAGACUGCAAGGCUGGAGUCUGGCAGAGGGGGGUAGAAUUCCACGUGUAGCAGUGAAAUGCGUAGAGAUGUGGAGGAACACCGAUGGCGAAGGCAGCCCCCUGGGUCAAGACUGACGCUCAUGCACGAAAGCGUGGGGAGCAAACAGG
rnacentral:rRNA from 1 species